rnacentral:rRNA from 1 species
UCAAAGAUUAAGCCAUGCAUGUCUAAGUACACAGACUAGUACUCUGAAACCGCGGAUGGCUCAUUAUAACAGCUAUGAUUUGAGAGAUUUAAUGCUUGCUACAGGAUAACUGUGGUAAUUCUAGAGCUAAUAUUUGAAAAAAUGCCGUGACUUCGGAAGCGGCGGAUUUAUUAGAUCAAAAUCAACCUACCGGCAACGGUGGUCUUUUGAUGACUCUGGAUAACUGAACUGAUCGUACAGCCUUGUGUUGACGACAUAUCUCUUGAAAUGGCUGACCUAUCAACUUUCGAUGGUAAGAUCAAAGCUUACCAUGGUUGUAACGGGUAACGGGGAAUCAGGGUUCGAUUCCGGAGAGGGAGCCUGAGAAACGGCUACCACAUCCACGGAAGGCAGCAGGCGCGUAAAUUACCCAAUACCAGCUCGGUGAGGUAGUGACAAUAAAUAACAAUAUGAGCCCUAGUGGUUUCAUAAUUGCAAUGAGAACAUUUUAAAUACUUUAUCAAGUAUCAAUUGGAGGGCAAGUCUGGUGCCAGCAGCCGCGGUAAU